UACGGGGGGGGCAAGCGUUGUUCGGAAUUACUGGGCGUAAAGAGCUUGUAGGCGGUUUGUCGCGUCUGCUGUGAAAAUCCGGGGCUCAACCCCGGACUUGCAGUGGGUACGGGCAGACUAGAGUGUGGUAGGGGAGACUGGAAUUCCUGGUGUAGCGGUGAAAUGCGCAGAUAUCAGGAGGAACACCGAUGGCGAAGGCAGGUCUCUGGGCCACUACUGACGCUGAGAAGCGAAAGCAUGGGGAGCGAACAGG
rnacentral:rRNA from 1 species